rnacentral:rRNA from 1 species
GUCCAUGCCGUAAACGAUGUCAACUAACCGUUGGGUUUCUUUGAAACUUAGUGGUGGAGCUAACGUAUUAAGUUGACCGCCUGGGGAGUACGGUCGCAAGACUAAACUCAAAUGAAUUGACGGGGCCCGCACAAGCGGUGGAGCAUGUGGUUUAAUUCGAUGCAACGCGAAGAACCUUACCUACCCUUGACAUCCAGAGAAUCUGUUAGAGAUAGUAGAGUGCCUUCGGGAGCUCUGAGACAGGUGCUGCAUGGCUGUCGU